UACGUAGGGUGCAAGCGUUGUCCGGAAUUAUUGGGCGUAAAGAGCUCGUAGGCGGUCUGUCGCGUCUGCUGUGAAAUCCCGAGGCUCAACCUCGGGCCUGCAGUGGGUACGGGCAGACUAGAGUGCGGUAGGGGAGAUUGGAAUUCCUGGUGUAGCGGUGGAAUGCGCAGAUAUCAGGAGGAACACCGAUGGCGAAGGCAGAUCUCUGGGCCGUAACUGACGCUGAGGAGCGAAAGCGUGGGGAGCGAACAGG
rnacentral:rRNA from 1 species